rnacentral:lncRNA from 1 species
GAAUUAAAGAUUUGGAAAAUAAAAAGACCGCAAUCAUAAUAUAGCAUGAUCAACCUAAGUAACUGCCUAGGAUCGCUAUUGAAAAUUGCUGGUACAUAGGAUAGCUUUUAAAACAAAGUAGCAUCUGAAUCAACUUUGGGAAGCAGGCCUUUGAAUAAGUAAAAACGAUCAAAUGACAAGGGGGAGAGCAAAAGACAAAGCUAUAGAAACAUGUGGGCAAGGACAAACGGGAGAGCAGGAAGUGAUCUGGAAUAUUGCCAUCAGGAUUGAGCAGUCUUAAGUAAUAGGGAGAGAAAUGCCCAAAACAUGUCUGGGUGAGUGUGGAAGCCAAAAGAAACUAUGC